CCUAGCGAUAUGUAAGUUAGUGGCGGACGGGUGAGUAACGCGUGGGUAACCUGCCUUGAAGAGGGGGACAACAGUUGGAAACGACUGCUAAUACCGCAUGACGCAUAGAGGUCGCAUGAUCUUUAUGCCAAAGAUUUAUCGCUUCAAGAUGGGCUCGCGUCUGAUUAGAUAGUUGGUGGGGUAACGGCCUACCAAGUCGACGAUCAGUAGCCGGUCUGAGAGGAUGAACGGCCACAUUGGGACUGAGAUACGGCCCAGACUCC
rnacentral:rRNA from 1 species